GACGAACGCUGGCGGCGUGCCUAAUACAUGCAAGUCGAACGAGAGCGACCGGUGCUUGCACUGGUCAAUCUAGUGGCGAACGGGUGAGUAACACGUGGGUAACCUGCUCAUCAGAGGGGGAUAACAUCCGGAAACGGAUGCUAAAACCGCAUAGGUCUUCGAGCCGCAUGGCUUGAAGAGGAAAAGAGGCGCGAGCUUCUGCUGAUGGAUGGACCCGCGGUGCAUUAGCUAGUUGGUGAGGUAACGGCUCACCAAGGCCGUGAUGCAUAGCCGACCUGAGAGGGUGAUCGGCCACAUUGGGACUGAGACACGGCCCAAACUCCUACGGGAGGCAGCAGUAGGGAAUCUUCCGCAAUGGACGCAAGUCUGACGGAGCAACGCCGCGUGAGUGAAGAAGGUUUUCGGAUCGUAAAACUCUGUUGUUAGAGAAGAACAAGUGCUAGAGUAACUGUUAGCGCCUUGACGGUAUCUAACCAGAAAGCCACGGCUAACUACGUG
rnacentral:rRNA from 1 species